GGGUGUUCUGUGCGGGGAGAAACACAAAGGAAAACGUACAUGUUGGGAAUGCAGUGACUAUGUCAGGUAGCAUACUCUACUCGAGCUCAGUUUCUCAGCGUGCAUUUAGGAUUGAUGCUAUAGAUUCAUCAAGUGAAGCUACACUCUGUGAUUAUAGUAGUGAAUGGAUAGAUAUGCAAUUGAUUGAAAUUUUCUUCUCGUUGAAAACUUGAAUCAUGAUUUGCAAGUGUGAAACUUUUAGCGACUCGCCCUUUCCAUGUCUAUUGGACAGGCAAACAACCAGAAGUCCAGAAAAUUUCUAAUAAACACGGUAUAAAAAAGAUCAUUGAUUCUAUUUACAUUGCUAAUUUCAUAUACAGAAAGCGAGAAGGAAGUGAUGGGGAACAAGCAACUGCUCGAUUUGGGAGAGUCUUGGCUGUGUGAGGAUCUUGUUUCUUAGUUUACCUAAUGUUUGUGAUAUUAAUUCUUCUUCUUCUUCAAGAUGUGCAUACAGAUCAAUAUGUGGAGGUGCCUUGCUUGCUCAUGGACAGAAGUAACUUGACAAAACACUGCAGUGUAUGAACAGUAAGUUGGUUCUCAUGUGAUAUAAACAGAAGUUUCCUACAAAAUUUCUGUCGAGUGUAAUGUUGACGUAGAUACGGUUUGCCUUUAGAAUAUGAUUGAUCUGUAGUAAUUUUGUAUUAGUAGUUGAAGCACUCAACCUCUAGGAUCUAUGAUUUGCUAAAUCAUUGGCUUCAACUGUGCAGUGGACUCCCGGAGCUGGCAAUAUGGUGGCUGUUUGAAUGAACGAAAUAAAGGUUUGAUUUUGCGGUUAAGAAAAAAAAAUCUCACUAAUUAAUAACUCUCUAUCGUGGAACCAGGAUACUCUACUGUGUAGCUUUGAGUCCGGAUCCCUUUAAUGCUUUUAAAUUAACAAUAUACACGCAACAAUAUUAAAUCGAUAACACAACAAUAAUGGAAAUGUGAGAGCAUUCUUGGUUUUAUGGUGUUACAGUGACAGGUCUCGAUAUAAUACGUUGAAUGGUCGUUAAAUUGUAUGUUGCAUUUGUCUGGCCAUUUAAAGUGAUCUAGAUGACCCUCGGGCCGAAGUGCCACUAGAGAGUAUUUGGACCUGGGCCAGGCCCAAAGUGGAUGAAUUUAUAUUUGUUUUUCAUAUGGUCUCUACAAACAAUUGUAUUUUAGAUAUCUUCAUUUUCUUUUGGUUUUGCAUAUAUAUAUUAUAUACAAUUGAGAAAGGUUGUUGUCUUGUUGAAGAUGAGAAUAUACACAUUUAACAUAUUCCCACAUAAUAUCUAAAGCACAUGGAGGUCCUUGUUUGAUCCUUCCCUUUCAUUAUGUUUUCCUCAAAUCGAAGUCAAUGAAAUCCCCAAAGAUUUCAUCAACACACUAUUCAAUAUAUGGUCCCAGAUGCUUUGGGCCAUGAAAUAGAGACAACCGUCUCUCUCUCUCUCUCUCUCUCUCUCUCUCUCUCUCUCACACACACACACACACACACACACAAUCUCUCUC